rnacentral:RNase_P_RNA from 1 species
GUGCCGCCGCCGGAGGAAAGUCCGGACUCCGCAGGGCAGGGCGCCCGCGCCGGGAGGUGCGGGAUCCCGGUGGCAAACGCCGGGAAAGGAAAGUGCCACAGAAACGAUACCGCCCCGGUGCCGCAAGGCGCCGGAGCAAGGGUGAAACGGCGGUGCAAGAGACCACCGUGCGGCGGCCGGAAGGUCCCGCGCAAGGCAAACCCCGCCCGGAGCAAGGCCAAAUAGGGACCCGAAACGGAGCGGCCCGUUCCGUCCGCCGCAAGGCGGGGCGGGUCCGGGUUGGCCGCUCAGACAAAUGACCGGGCCGCGCCGCGAGGCGCGGCGACAGAAUCCGGCUUAUUCG